UACGUAGGGAGCGAGCGUUGUCCGGAUUUACUGGGUGUAAAGGGUGCGUAGGCGGGUAAGCAAGUCAGAAGUGAAAUCCAUGGGCUUAACCCAUGAACUGCUUUUGAAACUGUUAUUCUAGAGUAUGGGAGAGGUAGGUGGAAUUCUUGGUGUAGGGGUAAAAUCCGUAGAGAUCAAGAGGAAUACUCAUUGCGAAGGCGACCUGCUAGAACAUAACUGACGCUGAUGCGCGAAAGCGUGGGGAGCAAACAGG
rnacentral:rRNA from 1 species